GUCGAACGAGAGAUGAGGAGCUUGCUCUUCAAAUCGAGUGGCGAACGGGUGAGUAACGCGUGAGGAACCUGCCUCAAAGAAGGGGACAACAGUUGGAAACGACUGCUAAUACCGCAUAAGCCCACAGCUCGGCAUCGAGCAGGGGGAAAAGGAGUGAUCCGCUUUGAGAUGGCCUCGCGUCCGAUUAGCUAGUUGGUGAGGUAACGGCCCACCAAGGCGACGAUCGGUAGCCGGACUGAGAGGUUGAACGGCCACAUUGGGACUGAGACACGGCCCAGACUCCUACGGGAGGCAGCAGUGGGGAAUAUUGCACAAUGGGGGAAACCCUGAUGCAGCGACGCCGCGUGGAGGAAGAAGGUCUUCGGAUUGUAAACUCCUGUUGUUGAGGAAGAUAAUGACGGUACUCAACAAGGAAGUGACGGCUAACUACGUGCCAGCAGCCGCGGUAAAACGUAGGUCACAAGCGUUGUCCGGAAUUACUGGGUGUAAAGGGAGCGCAGGCGGGAGAACAAGUUGGAAGUGAAAUCCAUGGGCUCAACCCAUGAACUGCUUUCAAAACUGUUUUUCUUGAGUAGUGCAGAGGUAGGCGGAAUUCCCGGUGUAGCGGUGGAAUGCGUAGAUAUCGGGAGGAACACCAGUGGCGAAGGCGGCCUACUGGGCACCAACUGACGCUGAGGCUCGAAAGUGUGGGUAGCAAACAGGAUUAGAUACCCUGGUAGUCCACACCGUAAACGAUGAUUACUAGGUGUUGGAGGAUUGACCCCUUCAGUGCCGCAGUUAACACAAUAAGUAAUC
rnacentral:rRNA from 1 species